CCCAUCUGGGCUACUAUAACCACAUGGACCAUCCCUUGCUUCAAUCAUAGAAUUCUUUCUUCAGAUCAAAGUAUAUUCAGACACCCGAUACAGUAACAAAAGCAAGCUAUCCUGGAAACAAGAAGGAAUCAGGAGGCAGAGCACAUGGUUAAAGCAUGAGAUGUGAAACCAGGAAGAACCAGGUCUGAACCUUAGCUCCACCAGUGGUAGCCCCAAACCUUGGUCCUUUCUGAGCCUGCUUCUUCAACCCUAAGGAACUCGGAAACGGGACCCAGAAAGUUGUUUUCUGCAAGUGGAUGGAACAACACAAGCAAUCAGUAUCCUGAAACAGGCCCUGUUCCAACAAACUGACCCAGAAAGAGGUUAUACCAAUUAUCUCUCCAGCAAGUAUGAGGACUCCUGUUUCCCUACGUACUCACUACUACAGCAAAGAUAUCAAACAUUGAUACCCACCAAUCUCUGGAUGGAAAAACAAAUCUCAGGAAUCGCUUGCAGGAGGCUCUGCACGUUCCUCAGAUUCAGAGUCACUGUCCUUUUGCCUGUGAAGCUCCUCACUUUCAGAGUCACUAGCAUUAAGAUUUAAGGGCUCAUCAUUCUCAGAGUCUGUCACAUGAUGUCCUUUGGGGAGGCCAUCUUCUCGAUCACUAGUUUCAUUCUGAAAAAUAAAGUGAGAAAAAAUUAGGAAAGUGCAAAAAAAAAAAAAA
rnacentral:antisense_RNA from 1 species